rnacentral:lncRNA from 1 species
CCUUUAGAAAGUGAAAAGGAGGAUAGAAACACGAAGAGGGAAAAAAGGAAAAAUAAGCUUGAAUCAGUAAUCAACAAGCACUUGUGUAUAUCCACCUUCCAAAUUUCAUCAAUACAUUACAACAUUUAAAGUCCUAAAUCCUCUCCUUGGUUGCCCAGAAACAUUGACCAAAAAAUCAAAUUCAAAAUUUUCAUAUCACCAGUUAAAAUAAAUAAAGAGCAGACAAAGCCAAUAAGCAAAGUGAAUUUGGCUUAGUAGAAAUCAGAUUUCCUUGUCAAAUUUUCUCGGCAACCAAAUGGAGAGUUCAAGAGCAAAAAACAAAGCCCUAGAAAAUGCAAGUACUAGACUCACCGGAGACUCACAUGAGAAGUGAUAGUUUCCGGCAAUGGUAUAUCGGAAUCAGGAAAACACAGGGGGGGAGAAGAAACUGGAAAGAAGUUCCUAGAGAGAAAUACAGGCAGCAGCAGAGAAGGAAGGAGAGAAGUGAAUGAGUCUCAGUGAGACCUAAAAGACCAGAAACUGCAGUGGGUGCGAAGGAGCAAUCUCAGCCACUACAAUUUCUUAUGGAUUUUUUUUGUUGAAAAUUAAGCGAAUUAUAUUUGAGGCUGCAAUGAAAUGAAGGGUAAAACUGGGAGAGAUGGUGCCAAGUGGCGGAUAUUUAGUGGCUGAUUAAUCUAAAGCCCACACUUGCACUUUUCUGAUUUCUUUUUUCCCAAUUGCCUGUACAUUCAUCUUCAAAUAUCAGCCACAAACUCUAACGGCCUCUGAGGUUAACUCCGUAAAAGCGUAGUCAGGUGCGCCCUUGCGUGAGCCCCACCUCGUGACGUGGUCCCUCUGGAAGGACCGGUUUUACUUUUAUCCGGUAAUGCUUGUGUACGGGCAGCGCAAAAAGUGGACAGUGGUAUGCCAACGUGGAGAUUGCCACCGUUACGUGGCGGUUUCAUUCAAAAGUGGCGAACUGGAGGAGGGCGACGCUUGCAGUUAACUGCAGGAGACUGUGUGCAGUUCAUGCAGUUAGAAGCGCUUCCAGCAGUUAUGCUGAAAUUUGACGGAUGUAAAUGAAUGGGCCGGUUUGUGGCCCAAUAUUGUAGCUGGAGCACCCCCACCAUAUUCAUUAAACUGGCCCAGUUAGAGCUUGAUAGUGUCCUCUCCUUGGCCCAAAUCAUUUGUGUCGUUUUUUCCUUUCCAACGUGCAUCAGUCAUCAAAGACCAUUGAAUAGUAGAUUCAAAUUUAAAUUCUCUCUUUCUUAUUCUCUGUUAAAAAACAGAAAUUAAAAGUUUUAUUAAUUCCACAAGGCCCAAGAUCCCAAAUGAAUCAUUUUACAAAUGAAGUGCAUCCAAUUACAAGAAAAAAUAAACAGAAAAUUAACCUCUACACAAUCACACCGACAAAGAUUAUGGAACUCGAGGAUCAAAGUAACAUCACAAAGUUAAAACAAACAUGCCUUAUACCCUUGACUUGGAUGGUAAUGACACGGAGCCACGUAAUGCAUGCAGGACGACGUCAUUAUAACCCAGCGUAAACCAUGUGAUAAAGCUUUAGCUUUGUCAAGGAUAAAGACAAAUUAUUGAAGGUUUUGUUAGAGAAGUUUAUGGCUGCUUCUAGUAUGCCAUUAUUCAAUUUUUGGGUAUGCAUAUACUAGCUAUUUUUCUUAAGUGGGGAAAGAAUCAGCUAAGCAGAUCAGUUGCAUAUCAAUUUUACCGAUAUUAUCGUCCAACAAUUUAGAAUGACUCAUGCAAUACGCAUCACUAACUAAAUGCUGGGUAAAUUAUAUCCCCAUAGUUAAUAGAGUUAAUUAAGGCCAGUUUUGUUUGAUGGAACCAUUCAAUCUUUGGCUUUAAAUAGCUUCAAUUUCAUCCCUUUUAAACCAAGUGAGAAUUAUAGGACCACAAGAACAUUAUAAGUUAUUUAAUGGGCUCGUCGAUUUUAUUAUAUAUUCAAUGUGAUUUUAAUAUCAAUUAUAACAAUACAAAUUUAACUUAUUCAGGGUUUGCAUAUAUAAAUUUUAAAUUUGCAAAAAUAAUUCAUCAUGUGAGAAAACAAAAGGGUAAAUAAGUUUUUUAGCAAUUAAAAUUAGAUUGAUUUUUGUUAUUGAUGCAAAAUAAGUUAUGUGUUGUUUGGUUUGAAAUAAGAGGAAAUUUUUUCGUGUAAAAAAAUAAAAAUAGAAGAAACUCGUUACUGAUCAGAAAGCUUAAGCUCCCCAUGAGAUUUUACUGAUUUUGUUUCUCAGAAAUUUUUAUCAAAUAUGAGUUUAAUUUUAACUUAAAAUUUUUUGACGAGCCACUUCAGUGAUAUAUUAUAUAACUUACGGAAUUUUUAUUAUAUUUAUACCUGCAUUAAAAAUUGAUAUAAUUUUUAAUAUUGUGCUUUCAAAAAAAAAUUUAAUAUUGAAAAAAUAAUAAAAACCAAACAAGCCCUUAAAAUUUAAGUCCAUAGGACAUUGAUUUUGCAUUUUUUUUACACGUUAAAUUAAUAUUUUAUCUAGGUACUUCAACAAUUCUUGCUGAAAACAACAAUAAUACCCAUUUACCUAGGAAAAAUUAUUUUAUAUAAUUGUAUGUAUAACAUUUUAUAUUAUAACCAUGAUCAUUGAUCAUGGUGGAUAGCUAUAAGAUUCGGGCGUCAUACGUGAAACCGUUUUUGACAAGCGUACACACACUGCAUAUUUCAAUUAGCAAAUCUCUGGAAGCGAUUGUCCAGAUGGAAUAAGAAAGUAUAUUUGAUUAAGAGUGUUGAAGAAACGCUGUUAUACUGUUCCAAAUGGGAAAAUAAUCAUUGUGAAAGCCAGUACGGCAGGAAAUGCAUUGGAUAUCUACCUUUGAUAAAGGCAAAUUAUCCCAAGUUGGUGUGCUCUGGAGGAGCACUUCCCUGAAUCCCCAGAAUAGAUAAUUCCCUUUAUCACAUGCGAGAGAAUAUUGUAAGUCACAAACAAAUUCUACAGACAUCUGCUGUGCUGAGUGCUUUCUUAGUUUGUGUUAUUUUAUAUAGGCGAUCAUCAUGGGCAUAAAAUAACGUUAAAGAGUGGAGAAAUUAAAUAUUUAAUUACAUGUGUCUUAGAGAUAAACGUGCAUUAUUACAAGGAUUUACUCUGGUUAGAAACUUAUACAAACGCAACGAAGCAUGUUUACUUCCUUGUGCACACUCAUUAAAAAUGUUCGCUUCAGCACUUACUAGCUUCACCUCACUGUAGCAGAGGAUCCCCUUUUAGCUGCUGCUCCCAAUUAUGUCGUUGAAUGUGGCUUUCACUUUCGCUACAAAAGCUUCCCUGCAGUUUGACCAUGGCUGUCAGUCUAUAUUUAUAAUUUUCUUUUUUCUUUUUACGUGAAAAUCUCUGUUCUUGGUGAAAUAACAUAUUUCAAUUGGAGUAGCAAUCAUACCUGUCAGGUUUGAAAAUAAUGUUCUUGUAUGCAAACCACUGCAAAUAAUUAAUAAACAAAAUCAGCUACUGUACACAAUCCAUCAAGAGUUACCCAACUUUACAUUUAAUAAGAUAAUGAAAUCUAUAGAAGUCUAGCUUGAUCUUGGCAUGCAAAUUAUGAAUAUUUGUUUAGUCCUACUUACUCCUGUGUAACCGAUGCCGACAAGCUCAAGAGCCCCAGGAAUCAAAGGAAGCCUAUCAAUCGCCUGUUGCAGGAAAAAAAAAAGGUUUCAAAAGGAUCACUCAUAAGAAAGGAUUAUAACUAGAAAAUAGUAAUUUGGAGAUCUCACCGAGAUCAUCCCAGUGGAGCCCCAAAGAGCAACUACACCAGCAACUGCUAGUGAAGACACUGCAUACUUGUCUUCAACCUUAUCCCACUGCUCACACGAGAACAAAAUCCAGGUCAAAACUAUAUGGAAUUCCAUUACAGCUUAGUGAGGGGGAAAAAAGGCUAAAUUCUUACAGCUUGUUGAAUUGACUUGACAAUCUCUGGCGGCUCAGUUGUAGCCAGCUCAGUUGGAGCCUCCCCUGUAGCCAAAGCCUCUCCGGUAGCCAUAGCCAUAACAUUCCGGGCUAGCUUUCGACCUGAGAAAAUGAACAUCAUUGUUAGAUAUAUAUAUAUAUAUCCCUUCUAUGGUGUGUUAUAGGACUGAACAGAUAUCUGCGUAUGACUCACAAUAAGCAGUGGUCUUCCAGGGACGGUUCUGAGUCUGGACAGGAGGAGGAGGAAGGGUGGGCAGGGUCACACAUUGUGGUGAUGCAGCGGCUAAUUGGCGAGGAGCCUUGGCAUCAACAAGGCUUGACGAAGAGGUGAUUGAUAAGGUUGUGGAGGAAGUUGAGGCCAUGGUUGAAGCAAAUCUCCACAGGUUAUAUUAUUCUAAUGAACUGUGAUUCUAAUUCUAAAUGCCACACACUAGGGGGAGCAAGUGCAGAAAUGUUAAAAUAUAGUGAAUUUUUAUUUUCCUAAUUUUUCUGGGCUUAGUUGAAUGUGUUUGAUAAUUUUGAUUGAGGAUAUGGAGAUGGAAGUGCUUCCAAGUUUGAAGCUAGGAACCACUCAUUACUUUCAUCAAGAUAGUGCUGACGUGGCCGUUGGAUUGCCAAUUAAUGGUGUUUGAUUGGAUAGGAUUAUCUCUUUCCUCCCCCUACGCCUAAAGGGGCAAAAAACUAAAAAUAUCUCCUCUCACUUCUUACCAAACAUUUCUCGUCUCUUUCUGAAACAAAAUGACCUCCUCUAUCCAUUUCUCUGAAAAGUUUUUGCACCUUGAGGUAUUGACGAGGGUGGUGGAAGAUAAUGCACUUACUGUAACAACUGGCAACCGAGCAAAUUGAGAAAUAUGUAUACAAAGGGGUGAAUUCUAGAUGCCGCACCUAAAGGAAUGACAUCAGUUCAGCGUAUUCGCAAAAAUUACUCGAUCCGAAUUUAAAUUCGAUUACUAUUUUUAAUAAUUAAAUUAUAUUGAAAUUUAUUUUAAAUUGUUCAAAUUCAUUACAAAUCUGAUUAUUAUGUUUAAAUUCAUUUAAUUUUAUAUAUUUUAAUUAAUAAUUUAUAUAAAUAUUUUAAAUUUUAAUUUUAAAUGAAAAUAUAAAAAAUAUAAAUAUAAAUAUAUAUAUAUAUAUAUUAAAUUAAAUAUUUAUAUAUAUAUAUUAAUUCGGAUAAUUAUUAUCCAAUAUGCAAAAUAUAAAUUCUUCUCAAAUUUAUCAUGAACAUUAAUUUUCAAAUUAAAAUCUAUUUCAAACUUUUUUAAUAAAAUUCAAUUGGAUCAAAUAUUUGAAAAUACUAAUGUCUAGGGCUCAACCCUUAUUGAAACAAGUAAAUUUACAAGUAUAUACGGUAAAUUAACAAAUAAAAUAUAAUAUCAAUUUUUAUAAUUAAUUUUAAAAAUAUAAUAAUGUUGAUUUUGAAAAUAUAGGAAAUGGACCCUUGGUUGUAUAAUCGAUUCUUGCUUGCUUGGAAGGAGAUAUAAGAUAAUGAAAAUCCUCUCCAUAUCCCUCUAACUCAUUCUGAUUUUAGGGUUCUGAUUAAAUAUCUCCUUAUGGUUAUUAUAACGAGAUACUGGCUAAAUUGGUUGGGGAUUUUGUUGGCCACUAUAAAGAGUAUGAUAUGAAAAAUGUUUCAGCUAUGUCGCAGUGUCCUAUGAGACUUAAAGUUUGUUUGGACAUUCGGCAACCUUUGAAACGAUAGAAGAAGUUUGUUGGAGAUGAUAGUACUGUAUUUACUGUGAAGUUUCAAUGCGAAAAACUGACUAUUUUUUGCUAUCUAUGUGGAAAACUGGGUCAUAUGAAGACUUUCUGUGACUUGCAACUGAGGUUGAAGAAAGAAGAUAUCAAGUUUGGUUGGGGUGAUUUCCUCAGAGCACCUGUUCGUCGGAACCAGAGACCGACAAAUCUGUGACUGCGUGAUUCCGGCAAUUCUGCUCCGCCAGGAUUUGUGGCAGGAUUGGCAUCAACUAGCAAUUUGGAAAACACUAAUUUGACAGCAUAUAAUAGGCAUUUCUCCUUAUUUGGCAAAAGUCAAUUCAUUGUAAAUAAGGAGACUGAGGACCAUAUUAUAGACAUGGACAAGAAUUCUGUGGGUUAAGGCAGUUCUGAUAAGUUUGAUGAGAUUGCAGCCUGAAUAAAUGAUAAUGCUAAAAAAAGUUAAGAAACACUAAACAUAACGUUGUUACAGGUUUUCCUUCCUCUCAAUAGUAUGCUUCUAACAACACCAUUGUGAAUAUUAAUUUGACAGGCAACAGUGAAGCGGCUCAUCCCGUCAAAGGUUGGGAUAGCCGAAAGCAAUUAUUGUCCUGUGUUGGAACUGCCGAGAACUCGGCAAUCCUCGGAUAGUUAAUGCAUUGAAGGAUUUGGUUACUAGUUACAAGCCGGAUAUUUUAUUUUUUAUGGAAACAAAAAAUCUUAGUUAUCGUAUGAAAUUUUUUCAUAAUUUUUUAUAUUUUGAUGGUUGCUUCUCAGUCAAUAGACAAUGAUUGAAAAGAGGUAUUUCGUUAAUGUAGAAGAGUCAUGUAUAUGUUUCUGUAGUUGGAUUUUCUUCAAAUUUUAUUAAUUCGGUUGUUUUUUAAGGUAAUGUUCAAUGGAGUUUUACUAGUUAUUAUGGAUUUCCAGAAUCGCAACGACAACAUCAGUCUUGAAACCUUAUUCGAGCUUUAUCUCGUAGAAGCUCUCUUCUGUUACUUUGUUCGGGAGACUUUAAUGAUUUAUGCUCGAGAGAUGAGAAAGAAUGAGGAGCAUUUUUGCAAGAAUGAGGAGCAUUUUUGCCAAAUUAUCUUAUGCAGGGGUUUAGACAAGCACUUAAGGAGCAUUUUUGCCAAAUUAUUUUAUGCAGGGGUUUGAUUUUGAAUGAUUGGAAAUUUUUGUUAGACUCUAAAACUGAUAUUUCUGUUAGAUAGAUUCGUCAUAAUGCUACUCUAAAUACUCAUACUUUGACUAAAGAAUUUAUUAGAUAUAAUCGUCUCUCUAUUUAAAAUGAUAUCAUUUUUAUUUGAUAAAAUUUUAUUAAUAUAACCAGUAGUUUUGCACAUAAUUAUGACUGACUAGAAGUGGUAAACAAUGCCAAUAGCUUAUUGAAUUCUUACUAAUUCUAAUAAACGCUAACAAAUAAUAAGGUAAAAUCUGAGUUUUUUGAAAACGAAAUAAGUUAUUAUUUUAGGUAAUUUUUAUGAUAUUAUAUUUUUUAUGAAUUUGGUUUAUAAUUCUUGAUAGAAUAGUAACAUCUAAUUAAUAAAAUAUUAUUAAUUUAAAUUUAUAUAUAAGAUUUAUUAUUAUUAAAAAUUUAUAUAUUUAUCCAUCUAUAAAGUAAGUUCUCAUCACGCGCGCUGGGCGAAAGACAAUCAAAGCUCAUGUUUUCAACUUACCGUUGACUUUACUGUAGCAUGUUCCUGCAUAGGCAAUGAUGAGUAGCCACUCAUGAGUUUCCCUUCAAAAUUCAUUAUGUAUAUACGACAUUCAUCAAAUUAAAACGACACAUCAACACUAUCAUCCCUACAAUAGUUUGAAGUUUAAAGUUAGAGGGUAGAAUUUUUGCAAGUACUGUGUUUAAUUAUUUAUAGAAAUUUUAUUUUUAUUUAGUUAUUUACUUGUUAUACGAAAUCUAAACUAUUAUGUUGUUGCGAUUUGUGUCGGGGCCAGUGGGUUGUCGUUGGAAUUUGUUUCCGGUACUGGUCGUACAUGAAUUUCCAAUCUUUUUUUUGGAACUUGAAGCUUGGAAAGGGUGAGCUCUGAGACUUUGAGUCUGCUUCUGGAAUGCUUUGUUUCUUGGAUAAAAACUGUGAAAGCGGACAAGAAAGAAUUCAAAUUUGGUUGAAAUUUGGAAAUUACAUAAGCAGUUAACGUUAUGGAAACAGAAAUAAAUUGAAUAGUGAAAUGCACCAACGUCACCAUGCAAUUGAAAGUCGAAGCAGUUCCUGAAAAAGAGCCAAGUCCACUCAAGUCUUCCAAUUAUUAAUUUACUGAGUUGUGUGCGUUUUUUCUAAUGAUUUCCUUUAUUAUUAUUAUUAUUUUGUAUAUAUUUGACAUUGAAAUUCAAGAGGUAAAAAGCAUGUAUUUUUUUUUGGAAAAAAAAUCACAAUGAUGGAUACUAUUAAACAAAUGUUUUGUUAUUUUAUUAUUUUUAUAAUCAAAACAUGAUAAUUUUUUUUAAAUAAAGACUGUAGAGUUAAUCUUGAGAAACCAAUAUACUAUGACUAUUUAGUGCCUUUUUAAAAAUAAGAGAUGUGCUACUAGAAAUUUUUCUGAAUAUGCUUGUGAUAUUUUUUUAGUACAAUUCACUCUCCAUGAGACUUGAACUUAAAAUCCCAUACUUUUAGAGAUAACUCAAAUACCAGGUGAUGAUUGUUGGCUCACUAAUCUUAUUUAAUACCCUAAUAAAUUUGGAAUGGAGACAAAAAAAGGGCUCAACUUUUAGAGAAUAGAAACAAAAUGCUAAUCAUGGUUAAUGCAAGCUGAUGUGGCUUAAAUAAAACCUAAAAAAAGGUUGAUGCUAAUUGUUAUUGGGAGUAACGUCCUUGUCCAUGGCAAACAAGAGGAAAUAAACAGGGACUGGGCUGAUAAAAGAAGAGAAUCAAAAGAGCAAAAAUGACUAAUGAGACUUGGCUGGGGCCACAGAAAAUGGAAGGUGAAUAGAUGAUACGUCCCUAGCCAGACGUUCCUGACCUGAUGCUAUUGCUAAUUUGCUAUUGCAUGCCAUAGCACAUGGGGAUGUGUGCUCUUAUAGCUUCCUUUCUCUUUCUCUAUUUCUGACCCUUAUGACAAUUUUCACAGACUUGGAACAUGGCCUUUCACCUUUGACUUUGCCCAUUCCCAUCAACCACACCCCACCCUUCGAGAUCUACCACGUCACUCGUAUCUGCUCUCUGAUUAACAUCUCAUGCACAAAAUCAACAUAACCAUAUUUACAUUAGACCUUCAAAAGCAAAUUUGCUUGUUGAAAAAGGAAAAAUAGGCAGAGGAGAGGAUAAUGGAAUUUGUAGAAAAGCCAGCUGAAGCCGAAAAGGAGGGUACGAAAAAAAGCAGGUUGCAGGCGCAGUGAACAUUGGACAAUGAAUGGUGAUCCAUGAAACAUCCAUAUCAACAUACAUAUAUAUACACGGCCGAUGUCCUAAAGUCAAUUGAAAAAGAGAUGCAUCAUUUGCAUUUUGUCAUCAUUACAUUUUUAAUAAUAAUAUUAUUAUUAUAUUAUAUUAAAACAUUAUAGCCUAGCCCCACUCUUUUUGACCACGCAAGCUCAGCUGAAACAAUUCCAACUCAUACCCAUAUUCUAAUCUGCCAACUAGCUCUAGCAAUACAGAUAAUAAGCCUUUUUCUUAAAAGAAGAAAGAAAGAAAGUUAAGCAGUAAGUAUCAUCCGCUUAAUUUGUGCACUGGAGACGAUUAAUGGAAGCAAUCCUCUGUUCUGUUCCCUAUCUACCAUCCCUAAGAACCCAGUUGCAGCUUUUCUUUUCGGUUUUUUAAUCCCCUACACUGUAUUAGAAGGGAACUCAGAAUUGUAGAGUGAGCUUCCGUUUCUCUCUUGCCUACGAGUGUAAUUGACCAAUCAGUUGCCGUUGAUAAUGGUGAAUAUUUCAUCAACUGUUGCUGCUAUCUCAUCCGCUGAUUCCAGCUUACAGUCAUCCUCUAUCUACAGAUGCACCCCAAAAAAAAAAAAAGAAAAUUAAAAUUAUAUAUGAGAAAAUAGGGAAUUAGGGUUUGGGAGAAUGAAUGAAGUCAAACUGGUUGACCAAAAAGAAACAGCGAAAGUAAGGUACCUUUAGGUUGAAUGAGUAAAGAACUGUAUUUUCAGACGACGUGAUGUUAAGGUGCAAAACUGUCAGCCUAAGAUCCUCCAGUGCAACGAUGGCUCUCAACAACUGGCCUGCCUUCUUUUCACUCUGAAUCUUCAAAUUUACAUGAUUUUUUAUGACUGUCACUUCUAUCUCCGCCGCCUCAGAUUUUCUCUUCACCUUUGCUUCCUCUUCACAAUUGCCGCUUUCCCCCUGGAUAUUACACUCCGCCUGAGAAGUGAAUAACCAGUUCGAUGUCAUGCCCAUGGCCGCUACAGCUUCUUCGGUUUUUCUCAUUCUCUUUUGCGCUUCCAGAGAUUGUAGAAGCUGCUCUAGUUCCUUCACAAAAUCUAUUGCACCUCCUAUAAUAGACGCUUGGUCACCCUAUUAACAAGGAAAAAAAGGGUGAACGUUCAAUAAAGACUGGAACUUUUUUUUAUUAUUUUCUUUGGCACAGAGAAAGGAGAGAUUUUCAAUUUGUUGGACUAAAGAUUGAAUUCUCAAAACGAAAACCCUAAAUGGAAGGUUUGAUAUUUUGAUGUUUGUGAUUACCCUUUGCACGUAGGAGGGGGGCAUGAGAGAGCGGAGAGAGUUGAGGUGGUCGUUCAUUUGGCGACGGCGAUUGCGUUCCACAGCAAUGUGGGUCAUGCGCUGAUUCUCUACUUCUUCUUUGUUCUUCGUUGGCCUUGUUCGUUUUCGCUUUUUUCGUUCCUUGGUGACUACUGGAGAAGUUUUGGAGAAAUGGGUCUCGUGGAGCAUGGUUUGUGGGUGAGUCCAUGGAAAGGAUGAGUCUGAGUUACGUUCUUUGCAAAAGCGUCCUAUUAAAUUGGCCUGCCUCUUAGGCUCGGGGCUUACAUCUUCAAGACAGGAAUUUGAAUGUGGGUUCUGAAAAUCUUUGGUUUCAGAUUUGGCUGGUGAGUGCAAAUCAGCUAUGUCAUGAGUGACACAACUUUCAAGCUCCAGCGCUUGAACUUGGGUGUCCGCUUCAGUGAUGUAGUUGUUCCAAGGCCUUUUGAGGUGUUGGAGUUUUAGUAAUGUCUGAAAGUUGGGUUCUUUGAGGGGAAAAAAUGGUGGGUAUUCUACACCUUGUAGCAUUUGAAGAAAAGGGAUUUUGUCUUCUAAACUUGGCAUCGAGAACUGUGUUUCUUCUUCCUCGAAUGUUCUCAAAUUUUCUGUGUUUACAAAUCCUCGUUCCAAGCCCUCUGCAUCCAGCUGUUCACCUAAGAACUGCAAGAAAAAACAGAAACUUAAGAAAGAACUGUGAAAAAAAGAAACGAAACUAGGGAAAUACUUGGCUGGGUGGAUGAGAGAGACGAUUGAGUCUCAAAAGAGAAAGGGAGAACAAAAGAAGAAUAAGAAUAGAAUGUUAAUGAGAAGGAACAGCAAAGCAGAUAUUAGCAUUUCCAGUAAAACAACCAAAUGCAUUAAAUGCAAGCAUUUAGAGUAGUAAAUGCAGUCCCAUUUCUUGAUUCUAGUAAAGGAAUUCAAGGAUUGAGAGAGCUAAAUUUAAGAAAGGUACUAAAAUGAGCAAAGUAACAUACACAAGGAUCAAAAAGGCCUUGGAGCCUCUCCAUUACAGAUGAGCAGAAGUUGCAAGUAAGCUUUAAAUUAUCUCCCACUCAGUUACCAACAUUCCAUUGUGAUGCUAACAGAAAAAUAGUAAUAAAUGUAACGCCCAAGAAGCAGAACUAGAUACCCCAUCUUCAAGCCAAAUAUAUUCCUUUAUUUUCUGAGGCUGGUGUCCUGGUGAUACUCUUAAAUAGAAUAAUAUUAAAUGCUUUCAAGAACAGCACCACACACCCACACACACACACAGAGAAAGAGAGGGAGUAACCAGCAAGAAAUGGAGGCUAAGAAGAGUUAAGUGAUGUCUGAAGACGAGUAAAAAAAAACAAACAGCAGGGAAAAACAAAUUGAAAAUAACCAACUAAGGGUGAGAAACGAAGGGUGGAAAAUAAGCAACUAAGAGAGGAUAUAACAGAUGUAUAUGGGACUGGAGAGAGUUGGUAAGACUUAACAGAAGGGGGAGAGAGAGAGAAAGAGAGAGAGAGAGUUGUAGGGGGAGAGAGGGAGAAAGAGAGAGAGAGAGAGUUGUCUGGCUUACAAGGUCCCAAGCAUUAUUGGCGGUGGCAGUUUUGUCCGGCAGCGGGGACAGACAGUUGUGGGGACUCCUUCCCCAAGCGGACACCAAAAAAUUAAAAAGCUUUGGAAAGUCCUUUCUAUGGAUUGUGUCACCGAGUCUGAUGCUGCAUCCUUUCUCCCAUCUCUCUCUCUCUCUCUCUCUCUGUAGAUCUCUUUCUUUCUCUCUGUAUUUUUCUUCUUGUUUUCCAAUCCAAGGGUAUAUUUCUCUUUUCACUGCCCUCCCUUUUUACCCUUCAGUUGAUACACACUGCACAUGGCCUCCAGCAGUACGAUUAUGACUACCUUUGUCAUCUUUAUAAUCUUUUCUCAACCAUUUCACUUUUUGCUUCUUUUUUCCUUAAUUUAGAAUAAAUGGGUCUCCUGAUAUAAUAUUCCAUCUAAUCAAUCUCAUAAUCCAAAUAAGUACAGCUCUAAUCUUGAAUUUCUUUAUCAAAAGUAUAAAGAAUUAAAUCUGCAUGAAUUUGUAUUUAUGAUUCAUGAUGAAUAAGGUGUACUUGCAUGAAGUUUUUCAAUCUGUCCUACGUAAGCUCAACGCGUUGAUGCAUUACAGAGAUGGCUGAGUGUUACUUGGAAUGGGUAAUUGAAAUUUUUUUGGUAGGGUCAUAUUGGCAGCAGAUGAAGGCAAGAUUUUCAUUAAAUGUGUCGGGAGAGAAAUUUUGUCUCUAAGGGGAACACCAGUGGAAGCAUUAGCAGCAAGCCCCAGAUUCGUAUCAUUUCCACAGGUUUUUCCUUUAACAAUCUCUUCAACCCACUGUUGCUCAAACCUCUUCACAAUUUUACCUGAUAACAAAAAAAAAAAGGGAAAAUAUCAUAUAAUGUUCUGCAAGUUGAAGACUUGCUCCAGCUUUUUGUUUAGUCAAAUCUUCUAUGUACUGAAAAAACUUUUGUUUUUUCAACUGGAGAACUAGUCAGUCUAUUAGAUUAGCUGCCUUAUUCCCUGGAUUAAAGAAUGAUAAAUAUCAUAAAAUGCCAAAAUAUGACACUAUUAAGCCAUUAUUUUUAUAGCAUCAAGAGUGAAACUUAACCAAAGUAGAGGCUUUUAUGGCUUUAUCUAUUCAAAUGAAGUGAAAUGUACCCAUGAAAGAAUUUUCUUCUGUUUCCUUGUUUUAGGAAGUGAAGUCGCUCGUUGUUUUCAAUUAUUUGAAAAGGUUUAAAUGUGGAAAUUGCUCAACACCAGUUUACAGCUUCGCAAGGUCCCUCUGUACUGUCUGCAGGUGGAUAGAUCACCUGAUGAUCAAGGCACCAUGUGUCUCAAUUUCAGAGAAGCCUACCAGAGACAGAUCUUACAGAGGGCCACACCUUAAAGAUUGAAUCUUUGGAUUGCACGAGAACAUGGGAAUUAUGUGGGGAUGAAGUUCUACUAUUGAAAAAGAAGAGAUCAGAAACCAAAGUGGAGAAAACUUAAAGUUUAUGUUUGCUUGUUUUUCAAGACCUGGUAAAAAAGAAACAGUGGUUGAUUUUUCCCUUCCUCUUUCUUCUUACCAGGGGCAGAGCUAAAGCUCCACUAGUCAGGUCAAUUGACUCCACUGAAAUUUUUAAAUUAUGCUAGUUGUUAGUAAGAUUCUUUUUAUAAAUAGAAGUUCUUUUUCUCAUGUAAAUUUUGAUAGAUAAAAGUUUUUUUUAUGUAAUAUAUAUAAAAGUUUUAUAACCAUUUAUUGAAGAAAUAACUUGAAAAUCUCUUCAUUACGAGAUUAUUAAAUGUAAUAAUUGUUUAAUUAGUGAAAUCAGCUAAAAUAAAAAAUAUUAAACAGUUUAAUUAAAAUCAGUCUAAAUAAUUGUUCGAAAAAUCUUAUAAAUUUUUCUUACUAAAAAAUCGAUGUGGGAUUACAAAAAUGUUCAUAGUCAAUUAUAUUUAAUAUGAAUACAAUAACUAUAUAUCCUAACUUAUUGGCAAUUAUUAAGAUUUGUAUGUAAUAUACAAUUAAAGAAAAUAUGUAAAAAUAAAUAUAUAAUUAUUUUUUGUCAAUUUUUCAUAGGCAAUUAUGAACUAUAUAAAUAACUAAAACUAUUAUACAUUUCUUCUAAGAGAAGUUGCAUAAACUGAAAUUUAACAUAAUUAAUUAAGUCAAUAUUUUUGCAAAUAUUUUUGUCAAAUAUUGCGUAAAUAUUGAAAAAUCAUUUUGAAUUAAGUAUGUUGUGAAGUUGAUGAAUCUGGUUACUUCUCAAGAUUAAAAAGAGUCCUGCCAAGCUGUUUGAACCAUUUGACAUAUAACGCAGCCGUGUUCCACACUGUCAGCAGUUUCUUUAGCUUAACUCUGUCCUAUUAGGCGUAAUUGUAUUUUUCCCUUUCAAUUAUUCCUUCUCAAUCAUCGUCUCAAAUGGUAGCUUCCUCCUUUCUAAAUCAAGAGAAGCAAUCAAACAGCUCAUACAUCUUGGAGAUUUUGUCAAAUUUAUAAAAUCAGAUUUAUCAAACUCAAAAUCUACAAAAAGACAAAUUUAAUUUAAUAAAAUUUCAUGCUUCAAAACACCAGACUCCUAUUUGAUAAUGUCCAAGAACCUUAUCCAUUUUGAUCUGAGGGCAUCCAUUAAGCCACACAACCAGAGGCAUUCCCAUUAUCAUGAUGAGCACCCAGGAUAUUUGAACUUGUCCUGUAGCUGACUCAUUGAUUCUAGACGAUAUAGAAACCAUAAGAUGAAAAUACCAGUGAGACAAACCUUAUCCUCUUGCCACAAGGUUGAAGACUCUCAUGUCCAGUAGAUCAUGUUACUGAAUCUCCCUCUCGCCCAUCAUUUCAAAAAAUUAUACCCUGAAAUUGAAAUUGAUGUGUAUACAAUGAUUUUAUUAUAACCAUUAAUUU